rnacentral:rRNA from 1 species
GACGAACGCUGGCGGCGUGCUUAACACAUGCAAGUCGAACGAGGUCCACUGCGUAGCAAUACAAAGGAAGACCUAGUGGCGAACGGGUGCGUAACACGUGAGGAACUUGUCCCGGUCUCUGGGAUAACAGUUGGAAACGACUGCUAAUACCGGAUGACGUCGGAAGCUCGCAUGGGCUACUGACGAAAGGGUUACUGGAUCGGGAGAGCCUCGCGGCCUAUCAGCUAGUUGGUGAGGUAACGGCUCACCAAGGCAUCGACGGGUAGCUGGUCUGAGAGGAUGAUCAGCCACACUGGGACUGAGACACGGCCCAGACUCCUACGGGAGGCAGCAGUGGGGAAUCUUGCGCAAUGGGCGAAAGCCUGACGCAGCAACGCCGCGUGCGGGGAAGAAGGGCCCUUCGGGG